rnacentral:rRNA from 1 species
UAAACGACUCUCGGCAACGGAUAUCUCGGCUCACGCAUCGAUGAAGAACGUAGCAAAAUGCGAUACUUGGUGUGAAUUGCAGAAUCCCGUGAACCAUCGAGUUUUUGAACGCAAGUUGCGCCCGAAGCCUUCCGGUUAAGGGCACGUCUGCCUGGGCGUCACGU